rnacentral:rRNA from 1 species
AUUGAACGCUGGCGGCAGGCCUAACACAUGCAAGUCGAGCGGAUGACGGGAGCUUGCUCCUUGAUUCAGCGGCGGACGGGUGAGUAAUGCCUAGGAAUCUGCCUGGUAGUGGGGGACAACGUUUCGAAAGGAACGCUAAUACCGCAUACGUCCUACGGGAGAAAGCAGGGGACCUUCGGGCCUUGCGCUAUCAGAUGAGCCUAGGUCGGAUUAGCUAGUUGGUGGGGUAAUGGCUCACCAAGGCGACGAUCCGUAACUGGUCUGAGAGGAUGAACAGUCGCACUGGAACUGAGACACGGUCCAGACUCCUACGGGAGGCAGCAGUGGGGAAUAUUGGACAAUGGGCGAAAGCCUGAUCCAGCCAUGCCGCGUGUGUGAAGAAGGUCUUCGGAUUGUAAAGCACUUUAAGUUGGGAGGAAGGGCAGUAAGUUAAUACCUUGCUGUUUUGACGUUACCGACAGAAUAAGCACCGGCUAACUCUGUGCCAGCAGCCGCCGUAA